UUCUUACUUCAAUUUCAA
rnacentral:sRNA from 1 species